rnacentral:sRNA from 1 species
UUCUUUGCUGUGCUGGCGAUCCUCACCAUCCUCGGCGUUCUCAAUGGGCUGGUUUUGCUUCCCGUGCUUUUGUCUUUCUUUGGACCAUAUCCUGAGGUCAGUAGUGACACGGGGAUGUCCCAUGUGUAGGCCGGCUGAAUGCUGUGUUUCCUGUGCCGCUCUUCACUUCGAUACUUAGGUGCCUCCCCACUUGCUGGUGGUUCUUCAGUAAACAUCUCAGAGUCAUGUCUGUUUUCCUCUUCGGUGUACCGGCUUUGAGGGCUAGAGGGCGGGUUCGGUUUGGUUCCUCUAAAUCAACUGAUUGGCAGCCUGGGUCUUACAGAUCUUUAUACAGUAAAUGAAGACUUUCCCCUUGAGAUGCAUAAUUGGACUUCACAAGAGUAAAAAGUACACAUCCUGCCUUUCCAUUGUGGAGCAGAGGACAGUUCUUCUGCUCCAGCUGCGGGACCUGAAGGUCCUCCAGGUGGUAGAGAAGGGGAGGUUAAUACGGCACAGUGCGCAGGGCCCCAGGGCAGGGGACAGAGGCCCCUGAAAAAUACCGUGCUUUGAGCUUUGAGGAUGGCCAGCAGGUAAAUGGACAAGAACACUUUUAACAUGGAAUCCCCUUAAAUAGGUGUCUCCAGCCAACGGCUUAAACCGCCUGCCCACACCCUCCCCUGAGCCACCCCCCAGCGUGGUCCGCUUCGCCAUGCCGCCCGGCCACAUGCACAGCGGCUCUGAUUCCUCCGACUCGGAGUAUAGUUCCCAGACGACAGUGUCAGGCCUCAGCGAGGAGCUUCGGCACUACGAGGCCCAGCAGGGCGCGGGAGGCCCUGCCCACCAAGUGAUCGUGGAAGCCACAGAAAACCCCGUCUUCGCCCACUCCACUGUGGUCCAUCCCGAAUCCAGGCAUCACCCACCCUCGAACCCAAGACAGCAGCCCCACCUGGACUCAGGGUCCCUGCCUCCUGGACGGCAAGGCCAGCAGCCCCGCAGGGACCCCCCCAGAGAAGGCUUGUGGCCACCCCCCUACAGACCGCGCAGAGACGCUUUUGAAAUUUCUACUGAAGGGCAUUCUGGCCCUAGCAAUAGGGACCGCUGGGGCCCCUGCGGGGCCCGUUCUCACAACCCUCGGAACCCAGCGUCCACUGCCAUGGGCAGCUCCGUGCCCGGCUACUGCCAGCCCAUCACCACUGUGACGGCUUCUGCCUCCGUGACUGUCGCCGUGCACCCGCCGCCUGUCCCUGGGCCUGGGCGGAACCCCCGAGGGGGACUCUGCCCGGGCUACCCUGAGACUGACCACGGCCUGUUCGAGGACCCCCACGUGCCUUUCCACGUCCGGUGUGAGAGGAGGGAUUCGAAGGUGGAAGUCAUUGAGCUGCAGGACGUGGAAUGCGAGGAGAGGCCCCGGGGAAGCAGCUCCAACUGAGGGUGAUUAAAAUCUGAAGCAAAGAGGCCAAAGAUUGGAAACCCCCCCACCCCCACCUCUUUCCAGAACUGCUUGAAGAGAACUGCUUGGAGUUAUGGAAAAGAUGCCCUGUGCCAGGACAGCAGUUCAUUGUUACUGUAACCGAUUGUAUUAUUUUGUUAAAUAUUUCUAUAAAUAUUUAAGAGGUGUACACAUGUGUAAUAUAGGAAGGAAGGAUGUAAAGUAGUAUGAUCUGGGGCUUCUCCACUCCUGCCCCAGAGUGUGGAGGCCACAGUGGGGCCUCUCCGUAUUCGUGCAUUGGGCUCCGUGCCACAACCAAGCUUCAUUAGUCUUAAAUUUCAGCAUAUGUUGCUGCUGCUUAAAUAUUGUAUAAUUUACUUGUAUAAUUCUAUGCAAAUAUUGCUUAUGUAAUAGGAUUAUUUUGUAAAGGUUUCUGUUUAAAAUAUUUUAAAUUUGCAUAUCACAACCCUGUGGUAGUAUGAAAUGUUACUGUUAACUUUCAAACACGCUAUGCGUGAUAAUUUUUUUGUUUAAUGAGCAGAUAUGAAGAAAGCACGUUAAUCCUGGUGGCUUCUCUAGGUGUCGUUGUGUGCGGUCCUCUUGUUUGGCUGUGCGUGUGAACACGUGUGUGAGUUGACCAUGUACUGUACUGUGAUUUUUUUUUUGUCUUGUUUUGUUUCUCUACACUGUCUGUAACCUGUAGUAGGCUCUGACCUAGUCAGGCUGGAAGCGUCAGAAUAUCUUUUCUUACUUUGUGCUGGUGAGGGCUGGCCCUAAACAUCCACCUAAUCCUUUCAAAUCAGCCCGGCAAAAGCUAGACUCUCCUCGUGUCUACGGCAUCUCUUACGAUCAUUGACUGCCAUCCAGGACCCCAAUUUGUGCUUCGGGGGAAUAAUCUCCUUCUCCCGGAUCAUUGUGAUGGAUGCUGGAACCUCAGGGUAUGGAGCUCACAUCAGUUCAUCAUCGUGGGUGUUAGAGAAUUCGGUGACAUGCCUAGUGCUGAGCCUUGGCUGGGCCAUGAGAGUCUGUAUACUCUAAAAAGCAUGCAGCAUGGUGCCCCUUUUGUGACCAACACACACACGACCCCUCCCCCAACACCCCCAAAUUCAAGAGUGGAUGUGGCCCUGUCACAGGUAGAAAAACCUAUUUGGUUAAUUCUUUCUUGGCCCACAGUCUCCCAGAAAUGAUGUUUUGAGUCCCUAUAGUUUAAACUCCCUCUCUUAAAUGGAGCAGCUGGUUGAGGCUUUCUAGAUCUGUUUGCAUCUUCUUUAAAACUAAGUGGUGAGCGUGCAUUGUGGUGGUGUAGAGGCAGGCAUUAUGUAGGAUAAGAGCUCCGGGGGGAUUCUUCAUGCACCAGUGUUUAGGGUACGUGCUUCCUAAGUAAAUCCAAACAUUGUCUCCAUCCUCCCCAUCAUUAGUGCUCUUUCAAUGUGAUGUGGGAAAGCAGGAGGAUGGACACACCCCACUGAAAGAUGUAGGCAGGGGCAGGUCUCAACCAGGCAUAUUUUUAAAAGUUGCUUCUGUACUGGUUCUCUUCUUUUGCUCUGAGGUGUGGGCUCCCUCAUCUCGUAACCAGAGACCAGCACAUGUCAGGGAAGCACCCAGUGUCGGCUCCCCAUCCAAUUCCACACCAGCACCUUGUUACAGACAAGAAGUCAGAGGAAAGGGCGGGGUCCCUGCAGGGCUGAAGCCUAAGCUACUGUGAGGCGCUCACGAGUGGCAGCUCCUGUUACUCCCUUUUAAAUUACCUGGGAAAUCUUAACAGAAAGGUAAUGGGCCCCCAGAAAUACCCACAGCAUAGUGACCUCAGACCCUGAUACUCACCACAAAACUUUUAAGAUGCUGAUUGGGAGCCGCUUGUGGCUGCUGGGUGUGUGUGUGUGUGUGUGUGUGUGUGACUCUGCUGGGGACCCUGGCCACCCCCCUGCUGCUAUCUUGGUGCCUGUCACCCACAUGGUCUGCCAUCCUAACACCCAGCUCUGCUCAGAAAACGUCCUGCGUGGAGGAGGGAUGAUGCAAAAUUCUGAAGUCGACUUCCCUCUGGCUCCUGGCGUGCCCUCGCUCCCUUCCUGAGCCCAGCUCGUGUUGCGCCGGAGGCUGCGCGGCCCCUGAUUUCUGCAUGGUGUAGAACUUUCUCCAAUAGUCACAUUGGCAAAGGGAGAACUGGGGUGGGCGGGGGGUGGGGCUGGCAGGGAAUUAGAAUUUCUCUCUCUCUUUUAAUAGUUUUAUUUUGUCUGUCCUGUUUGUUCAUUUGGAUGUUUUAAUUAAAAAAAAAAAAACUUUGCUGAUAUUUAUAAUUUUGUAUCAUAAGAAUGUUUUCCUCUACAGUAUUUGUCAUGCCAGUUUAUAACAAAAAAAAAUGCAGGGAUUUUAUUUCUAUUGGAAACAUUACAGCUAUGUUUUACUUUUGGACAGAAUUUUUAUUUGUAUAGAGUGCUUACUAAUGUUAAAUAGUUCAGAGUAUAUAACAUUUACAUUAAGGACUCAUGGUAGGUUUUAGGGUAAGGAGUUUAAAGGAAAUAAAUAUUCAAACUGGGUCUCAUUGCCAAUUUUGGUGGAAAUGAGUUUGUGUCAUUUCAAUUACAAAGAUAAAAGUAUGCCAUAUAAUUUAUUUAUAUGAAGAUUUAUUUUUGUAGUGUACAUAGUAGUCAUCAAGUCUUUUGACAGAAGUAUAUUUUUAAAGAAUUUAUAUGUGAUGAAUCCAUAAUGUCUGGAACUUUGCUGAGACAUGAGUGGGCACAGUUUUCAUUGUAAAUUACAGCAAGGAAAGAAAAUGUUUAACAGUGUUAAGAGAGUCAGCGCAGAGUGGAUAUUCAUGCGAUUAUGAAGUGUUUAUUAGUUACCAUUGGCGACCUAGCAUGCUUCUCAUUUCAAACCUUGGAAGGUGAAAAUGUACAAACUCUCUAAAUAAUUAAUGUUCAAACACUGAUAGAAAUUCUAACAUGAAUAAAAAAUAAUAUAACUUGUUGGUU